rnacentral:rRNA from 1 species
AGCCUCUUGAAAUAAAAUAAAAGGUGAAACCUGCCCAGUGACUUACGAGUUUAACGGCCGCGGUACCCUGACCGUGCUAAGGUAGCAUAUAAUACGCCCUUUAAUUGUGGGCUAGAAUGAAUGGAUAAACGAAAGUUAAGCUGUCUCUGUAAUAAUUAUAUAAAUUUACCUCCAGGUGAAGAGGCCUGAAUACCUCUAAAAGACAAAAAGACCCCGUAGAGCUUGAUUAAAAAUAAUUUAAAUAAAAAAUAUAUUAUAUUUUUAUUUAUGUUUUAUAUAAUUUAACUGGGGCGGUUAAGGAGCAAAUAACCCUCCUUUUUAAUUAAAGGGACACCUCCCACCUUAUGAUCCUAUAUAGAUUAAAGAAAUAAGCUACCUCGGGGAUAACAGGCUAAUAUCUUUUAAGAGUACAUAUCGAAAAAGAAGUUUGGCACCUCGAUGUUGGCUUAGAGGACCCUAGGAGUAGCAGAAGCCCCAACGGCGGGUUUGUUCAACCCUUAAACCUCU